CGCCUCCCAAAAGGUAACGGAGGCGCUCAAAGGUUCUCUCAGUACGGUCGGAAAUCGUACGUAGAGUGUAAAGGCAAAAGAGAGCUUGAUUGCAAGACAUACAGGUCGAGCAAGGAUGAAAAUCGGACUUAGUGAUCCGGUGGUUCUGCGUGGAAGGGCCAUCGCUCAACGGAUAAAAGCUACCCUGGGGAUAACAGGCUUAUCUCCCCCAAGAGUCCACAUCGACGGGGAGGUUUGGCACCUCGAUGUCGGCUCAUCACAUCCUGGGGCUGUAGUAGGUCCCAAGGGUUGGGCUGUUCGCCCAUUAAAGUGGUACGCGAGCUGGGUUCAGAACGUCGUGAGACAGUUCGGUCCCUAUCCGUCGCAGGCGUAGGAAAUUUGAGAAGACCUGUCCUUAGUACGAGAGGACCGGGAUGGACGUACCUCUGGUGUACCAGUUGUCCUGCCAAGGGCAUGGCUGGGUAGCUAUGUACGGAAUGGAUAAGCGCUGAAAGCAUCUAAGCGCGAAGCCAACUUCAAGAUAAGAUUUCCCACCGCAAGGGUAAGACCCCAGAAAGACUAUCUGGUUGAUAGGUCGAAGGUGUAAGUGCAGCAAUGUAUUUAGCUUAUCGAUACUAAUAGGUCGAGGACUUGACCAAU
rnacentral:rRNA from 1 species